rnacentral:rRNA from 1 species
UAGAGUUUGAUCAUGGCUCAGAUUGAACGCUGGCGGCAGGCCUAACACAUGCAAGUCGAGCGGUAACACAGGGAGCUUGCUCCCGGGUGACGAGCGGCGGACGGGUGAGUAAUGUCUGGGAAACUGCCUGAUGGAGGGGGAUAACUACUGGAAACGGUAGCUAAUACCGCAUAACGUCGCAAGACCAAAGAGGGGGACCUUCGGGCCUCUUGCCAUCAGAUGUGCCCAGAUGGGAUUAGCUAGUAGGUGGGGUAACGGCUCACCUAGGCGACGAUCCCUAGCUGGUCUGAGAGGAUGACCAGCCACACUGGAACUGAGACACGGUCCAGACUCCUACGGGAGGCAGCAGUGGGGAAUAUUGCACAAUGGGCGCAAGCCUGAUGCAGCCAUGCCGCGUGUAUGAAGAAGGCCUUCGGGUUGUAAAGUACUUUCAGCGGGGAGGAAGGUGUUGAGGUUAAUAACCUCAGCAAUUGACGUUACCCGCAGAAGAAGCACCGGCUAACUCCGUGCCAGCAGCCGCGGUAAUACGGAGGGUGCAAGCGUUAAUCGGAAUUACUGGGCGUAAAGCGCACGCAGGCGGGUCUGUCAAGUCGGAUGUGAAAUCCCCGGGCUCAACCUGGGAACUGCAUUCGAAACUGGCAGGCUAGAGU